rnacentral:rRNA from 1 species
AUGUCGGGAGUUUGGGAACUCAAGGACGGCAAGGUGCGGUUGCUGGACAAGCAGUCGGAGCCGCGGCGGAAGGCGCCUGCGGGAGAGCAGCUGUCGUCCACGGCGGGGCCGCGGAGGAUGCUGGUGCACGAGUCGAGCGGGCAGCCGGUGUCGUCGUUAGAGGAGCUGGAGGCGCUGCUGGCGGACCUGGGGUGGGAGCGUGACGAGGACGACGGCACGGCGCUGCUGAAGUUUUACAAGCCGGGCAGCCAGCCGGACCCUCUCACCCUCUCGCUCCCCAGGGACUUGGCCGACUUCACCUCGGUCCACAUGCGCGACGUCGUCGUCAAGAACAGGGGCUCCUUCCACGUCGUGGAACGCUAG